rnacentral:tRNA from 1 species
UCGAAGCGUUGGGGUCCUGGCGAUACUGGUUCGAACCCAGUGCCGCGACUGGUUCGAACCCAGUGCCGCGAC